GUGGGGAAUUUUGGACAAUGGGCGCAAGCCUGAUCCAGCAAUGCCGCGUGCAGGAAGAAGGCCUUCGGGUUGUAAACUGCUUUUGUACGGAACGAAACGGUCCGGGUUAAUACCCUGGGCUAAUGACGGUACCGUAAGAAUAAGCACCGGCUAACUACGUGCCAGCAGCCGCGGUAAUACGUAGGGUGCAAGCGUUAAUCGGAAUUACUGGGCGUAAAGCGUGCGCAGGCGGUUUUGUAAGACAGGCGUGAAAUCCCCGGGCUCAACCUGGGAAUUGCGCUUGUGACUGCAGUGCUGGAGUACGGCAGAGGGGGAUGGAAUUCCGCGUGUAGCAGUGAAAUGCGUAGAUAUGCGGAGGAACACCGAUGGCGAAGGCAGUCCCCUGGGCCUGUACUGACGCUCAUGCACGAAAGCGUGGGGAGCAAACAGGAUUAGAAACCCCUGUAGUCC
rnacentral:rRNA from 1 species